GAUUGACCCAAAGGAACCCUCUGAACAC
rnacentral:tRNA from 1 species